UUUCGCAGGAGGAGGAACAAACCGAGCCGGACCCUCACAUGCUUUCUGCAGAGGAGAACAUCACUCUCACACAGAACCUGAUGGGUCAUAAUAGGAGAGGAAGAUAUCCUCUGCAUGGUGUUGGAGCUUCACCCGGCAUAAGCAUGAGAUCAUCCACAGCAUCCUCCACGUCAUCUACAUCAAUGAGAGCAGCCCAAGCAGUUUCCAAUCUAUGUUAUUUUUUGCAUUUAUCUCUGCGUAUUUGAUUGACAAGAUUGACCCGGAGCUGCAUAUUCAGGUGACUAAUGAGAUGACUAGAGUUGCGCUGAUGGCGAACUCGAUGGACGAUCUCAUGAGUGGAGAUAUUGGAGGAAGCAGCACCCGUUCUCGUAACCGAGAUAGAGAUACUGCCGACGACGAUAAUAGAUGAGGUUUUUUUAUUUUUAAUACAAUAAAUAGUUUUAUUUGUUAUAACACUACAUUUAUUCAUGUCGUGUAUCUUAUCUUAUUCAUGUACAUUGUUAGUAUAUAUGCUGUUGGAUGGAUAUAUUAGACGGAAUUGGUUGAUGUAUAUUUUGGAUUGGAUGGUUGGAUUUG